rnacentral:lncRNA from 1 species
AUUGGGCUGGGGAUUGAACUUGUGCCUCUGCAACAACCCAAGCUUCUGCAGUUGGAUUCUUAAAUCACUGUGCCAUGGUGAGAGCUCCUCAGUGUUUAGUUAGUUCGGCAUGCCGAAGUUCCCGGGCCAGAGAUUGAACCUGUUUGCUUUUAUAUUACUCAGUUGCAGUUACCAAAAAAAAAAGAAAGAAAAAUCUAAGCUCUGGUGGUCAUAAAGCAUUUACAGUUUCUUAAAUUUGUUCAUUUUAAACAUUUAUCUCAUUAAGGCUAAGAAGGAAGCAGCGGUACUCUAAAAGAUUAUAAUCUUAACUACAUGGUAAACCAUGAAAUGACAUAAAAGUCAAGCAGUUCUUUAUUCAGUUCACUUUUAUUUUUCCUUUGUGUCCUGGAGCCAAUAUACAUAGCCCUGAUUUAUUUUUAGUGUUAAAUAUUGGCAGAUACUAUGAGUCAUAACCCAAGUCGAUUUCCGUAACGACAGUAGUGGUAUAUAGAAAAAUCCAUUUCAAUACCACGGACCUCUGUGAUUUAUUGUUGACCCUCUAUAACUAUGGUUCUUCCAUCCCCGUAGAUAAAACCAACUGGGAAUCCUGUCGUCCUGUAGCGUUUUCUCUCAAAAAAUAUUUUUAUACAGGUGGAACUGUGAAGUUCAAACCCAUGCUGUUCAGCGGUCAACUGAGAAAAACUAUACAGUGUUAACAAUUUUGUGCAUUUAUUUGUGCUAUUUAUGUGUACGAUUUAAUAGAAUAUUUAUAUGUACAAUCCCUGGAAUGUUCCUUUUUUCAUUUAGUUUUUACAUGAAAGCAUCCACGAUGAAGUCGUUAAUAGACUUACAAAGGCCUAUGCUCAGAUCCGUGUUGGGAACCCAUGGGAUGCUAAUGUUCUCUAUGGGCCACUCCACACCAAACAGGCAGUGAGCAUGUUUCUUGGAGCAGUGGAGGAAGCAAAGAAGGAAGGUGGCAUAGUGGUCUAUGGUGGCAAGGUAAUGACAACUGGACCUCAGCAGUGACAGGUUUUUACUUUCCCUUUUGCACAAGCAGGGCUCUGGGUAAGCUGGUAAAGGGUCCUCCACUGCCAGUUUUCUUUUUUCCAUCCCUUUUGUGAUGGGAAGUACAUGCUUUAAAAAAUGGCAAUGUAGGGAGUUUCCAUUGUGGC